CUUAUAAAUAUUUCAUGGAAAAUAUCUGCUGAGAUAACUCCAGACUGUUGAUGUCGAGAUCACUGCACCUGCACAUUUUAAUUGGUCCGAGAGAGCCGGCCCAUAAUUGGAGCCUGGAACUCGGCACAAACCUGACUUGGUUGUCAAAGGGAACACUGAGAAUUGAGCGCUUUAACUCCGCCAUGGCCGGGGGAUGGGAAAGGGUGGGGUGGGGGGAGAGGGAGCCGUGGGCAGGGGCCAAGCCCCUGGGCUAGAUCAGGUUGAUUUAGAAACUGGGCUCGUGGAAAGGAGGGAGGAUCUCCUGGGCUGAGCACCUGGGAUUCAGACCUGUGGUUGUUUCCAUCAUCCUGCUCGCAUGGCCAGCGCUGCAGCCAGCGUUGGGGUGAAAAUGACUCUGGUGGUGUGGUUUCUGCGAUCCCCAGAAAAUAUCUGGGGGUCUCUGAGGCCGGCAAAGCCCCAGGUGCGGCUACAGUCGCCCUGGCAUGUGACUGGCAGUGACUCUUGAGCAAGUGCCGAGUGUCGGGCGCUGCUCCUUCCAGUGUGAAAGCCACUGCCAACCACUGUGUGUCUGCAGAGGGGCUCCCGGCCAGCGUUAGACUCUGUGCUUGUGCCACACAAGCCUUCCUCGGACCACACAGCCCUGCGGCCCCUCCGGCCCUCGCCCAUGUCAUCUGGAAGGUGCAACUGCAGGGAUGGUCGCCAGGCUGACGGGCCCCCUGCUCUGCCCACCCCAGCCUCAGGCCUGAUGAGCAGCUUCAGAGCCCACAGCGACACCCCCCCCCCACACACACACACCGCCGGCACAGACUCCCGCAACCCCUGGCAGGCUGCACCCCCACCCGACUCUGGGGCCCCUUUCCUUUCCCAGGAGACCCUCUUCCUCCCGUGUUGUGAGACCGGGAGGUUGCCAUGCCCAUUGGUGCCAAAGUGAGCUGAGAGGUGGUACCCGAUGGGAGUUGGGGGUCUCGGAAAGGCUGACUUGGCGGGCAGGGGGCGGGGUGGGGCUUCCCUCCACUGGCUGGGUAAUGGGAGGAGGGAACAAAGGGAGGCUGGUGGCUCUUAUGCCUAUUGGAAACCCUUCUUUGGGGGAUCCCCAUGGCCCUCUGGGAGGAGGAGAGAGGGAGCACGCCCGGGACCCUGAGACAUCAGGCUCUGGACUUAGCUGUCAGGACACAUCCGCACAGUGUCCCGCAGCCCCGUUUCACAAACUGGAAUCUGAGGCUCAGAGUGGCCGCGUAAGGUCACAAGGCAGGACACAGUGGGCCCAGAGUUUAGACAGGUUUCCCCAAAUGGUGGCCCCAUGACCAUCGUGGACAUCCCGCUCCAGAUGGGGCCCACAGCAAGAAGAUGCAUCUCGGCUCAGGGCCUCGUCCUGGCCUCCCUGGCGUCUUCCUCCCUCAGGCACCCCAAGACUGGACAGAGCAUGCAGUGAGGCCCCGAAAGUUCAAGAAAAACACAUCCAGGUUUGGACAUGAACACGGCUAUCAUGGUGGGAUCGGUUAUGGGAGAGACCCUCACCCAGUGUGGCGGGUGUCCUUCUCAGAACAGAAGGGACGAAGAGACAGAGCCGUGGAAACCCAGAGGCCAGCGGAGAGAGGUGGAUGGAACGGCCACAGCCCAGAAGGACCAGCCACGGUGCCUUCUCCCCUGGGUCUCCAGAAUCACAACUCACUCCAUAGUCAGGCCUCUGGCAGUGGGAGAAGCUGAACUCAGUGUUUAAACCUGCCCCCUCCACCCACCUGGAGGACAUCCCCCCAGCACGGCAUCUGGAAGGGUGGGGGUGGUCCCUGAACCCCAAGUCAUAGGCAGUUGGGUGAACCACCCCAAGAGGGCCACACCCAGCAGGGCACUGUGUCCCCCAAUUGCCCAGGAUUCGUGCCCGUGAUCUCUAGGCUGGACCACACCAGAGACUGGGGUUCCUGCCCCCCCCCCCCCGGCUUUCCUUCCUGCCUCGUCUGUGAGCUCCACCGAACGCUCCCAGCCUCUGUCCUGCGCUCUGGCGGGUGGCCGGUGGAGGGCCGGAAUCUCAGCCUCCUCCCACAUCAAAGAACAAUAAACACUUUUGCUUUCUUGA